rnacentral:rRNA from 1 species
GAUUAUGGCUCAGGACGAACGCUGGCGGCGUGCUUAACACAUGCAAGUCGAACGAAGCAGCAGUGAAGGAGGCUUCGACCAAUGGAACUGUUGACUUAGUGGCGGACGGGUGAGUAACGCGUGAGCAACCUGCCUUUCAGAGGGGGAUAACGUUUGGAAACGAACGCUAAUACCGCAUGACAUAACGGUAUCGCAUGGUAUUGUUAUCAAAGGAGCAAUCCGCUGAGAGAUGGGCUCGCGUCCGAUUAGAUAGUUGGUGGGGUAACGGCCUACCAAGUCGACGAUCGGUAGCCGGACUGAGAGGUUGAACGGCCACAUUGGGACUGAGACACGGCCCAGACUCCUACGGGAGGCAGCAGUGGGGAAUAUUGCACAAUGGGCGCAAGCCUGAUGCAGCAACGCCGCGUGAGGGAAGACGGUUUUCGGAUUGUAAACCUCUGUCCUUGGUGAAGAUAAUGACGGUAGCCGAGGAGGAAGCCACGGCUAACUACGUGCCAGCCGCUGC